CGCGUAGGUGGUUGCGUAAGUCAGAUGUGAAAUCCUCAGGCUUAACCUGAGAACCGCAUCUGAUACUGCGUGACUCGAGUGCAGCAGAGGGAAACGGAAUUCCUGGUGUAGAGGUGAAAUUCGUAGAUAUCAGGAGGAACACCGGUGGCGAAGGCGGUUUCCUGGGCUGACACUGACACUGAGGCGCGAAAGCGUGGGUAGCAAACAGGAUUAGAUACCCUGGUAGUCCACGCUGUAAACGGUGAAUACUGGGUGUGGGAGGUGUAAUGCCUUCUGUGCCGAAGCUAACGCGUUAAGUAUUCCGCCUGGGGAGUACGGCCGCAAGGUUGAA
rnacentral:rRNA from 1 species